UUUUUCUUCUGUUUUGUUUUAUUUAAUUGCCACUGAAUUCAAAUUCAAACAAAUUUGAAAACAGUGCCAAAACUCCCCUGGAUAAUUUUAUGUCACUUAAGGUCUACUCCUCAUAUACAUAAAAUAUCUCAGGGCAUUUGAAAAUAUAUUCAUUAUAUAUUAUGAAUAUAACUCCAAAUUCAAAUAGAAUAUUGAUUUAAAAUCAGAGCCCAAAUAAUUCCUUAGAAAUGUUCCAAAAUUUUGGUUUGAUUUAUAACUCUUGCCAAAAUUGUCAGAGCUAUUUCUAGGGCAUUUUGGAUUUACUGAUUACAAUUUUAGGGUUUCUUGCCCUUUUAUUAAAAUGAUUUCCGAGGCUUUCAAUUUCCUCAUUUCAACUUUUGGAAUAUAGACAUGAUGCACACAUGAAGCUAGCCUAGAGCAUUACCAGAAGCUAGGGAUGUGACAGCUCACCCCUACUAAGCAAGAAUCUCGUCCCCAGAUUCAAGCGUAGGGUAAGAUGAUGGGGGAACGCAACUAACACAAUCUUCACGAUCCAGGUUGCACUUCAAAUGAACGUUGAUUCAAUCACCAUCUUUGUCUCAAUGUCUUGCCCCGAGAACUCCAACUAACAUGACAAUGAGAGGAGAAGGAAAACUCGAGAGGGAUCGAUCUUAUCGAAGGUCGAACAACUCAGGAUCAACUCACAGAGUGAGACAUUGAAACAUCUCUCGAGCUGAGACACAAAACAUACAUCAGGAGGGAUGGAGUGGAAUAGAGAACGAGGAUUCAAGUUGAUAAGCACAAUUCCACGCUGAAUAAGAUGGUGCAUGGCUUCAAAGUAGCAAGGAGUUAAUUGCCGUGACUCCAUAAUGGGGCACCUUAGGGAAGGUGGCUCGUAGAAUUAUUCCCUUAAGUGGCAAAAAGAAUUACUUUUGACACAUAGAUCAUUGAAACUCUUUAUACCAGCCUGAGGUAAUCACAAUCGAUCGUUGGAAGGGGUUCGAAAGAAUGGCAUACGCCGAAAUAGAAUGAAUGAUGUGGACUACCUUGUUGAAGACAACACAAUGGAUGAUUUUGCUUGCGCGUGCUCUCAAGAACUUGAGCAUUUCCAUAUUCAUCAAGGUUCUACCAACAUCCCUGCCAAGGAUCCUGGCAACACAUCCUACUACCAUGAUGAAUAGUGAUGGUCAAUGCAGAUACAAAGGAGGACAACACUUUCUCAGAUUUCACCUUAGCGAUGCCAAGGAAACGAAAUCUGGAUGUUCGACCGAGAGACAUUUAGCACUCUACUUCUAAUGUUCUCCUUGAUGUGGUAGCAUAACCCAUUUAUAGAUAUGGUUUGGUAUCUAGAACAUCAAGUAAAAGGUCGGACUUCGGGAGCACAAGAAUCCAUAAGGAAUAACUACUAGAGUAAAUCCUACGAAAUCCUUAUGAGGAGGUGGCCAACUUCCUCAAUCAAGAUACUACAAUGAUAGGUCUUCCGGCUGGGUGUGUUGGCCACGACAUCCACCUUACUGGUUUAGAAAGACCAAUAUUAUAAUUCCUGGGAAAAGGUCCAACCAUCAUAUCUGCCUGAGAUUCAGAUCUGGUUGGUGUCAGGAUAUUCCAGACUCAUCAAGUCCAGAGAGAAAAACGGAAGUUUGCAACACAAGUCGACGAGAUGACGUUGCAGGAUUCUCGAGAAAUAGACUACGGUAGCAUGCUCCAAAACAUGAGCUGGUUCUGCUAAACACAUGUGAACACGCUGUCCCAAACAAGCAUAACCACAUAGUAGUCUUAUAAUAAAAUACUACCGAGUUCAGGUGGGGAACCAUCAUCGAGGAUAUCGAAGUCUUGUGCACUUAAAUUAGACUUCUUUACCUAGAACAAUUCAAUCAGUGGCAUGGUGGGCUACGGAAUUCAUAUGGAGUGGAGGUAAUUAAUCUACCAAACCAUAGUAUACUUUGCACAUGCAUGACUGACUUAGGACGAUUCCAAAGGAAGCAAAACUAACUCUCUCAAAUUCAUAGCGGCAACUUGCAUCGAAUGCACAUGAAUGAGAGGAAAUCACUUCUUUCAUCCAAACAUAUGCUUCAUGAACGGAACAUGAAGGCAUUGUUUACAAAGUUUCCAAUACUAGAUUAAUGUUUAACACGAAUCAUAAGGGAGACAAGAUGCUGCUGAUGGGCCCAAUAGCAACUCAUCGGAAUUUCCAUAUCACUGGACUUCCACCAUCAUGUGAACAUGGUGAUAGCAUUGGUCAGACCAAAAGAUGUAAUAGUGUAUGCUCGAGGGAUGAACCACGAGUAAGACAACAUUACGAACAUCGUUGGUUCUUAUUUGACUUGACGAUAGCCCAUACUCAAGUCAAAGUUUUGACAAGACAGAUAGAUCCAACAACUGAUCAUGAGGACCAAUCGAUGAAGAUAUCAUCUUUCUUCAACACACACACAAGGAUAUCCCUUUGGAGAUGAACUAAGCGGGACAAGCUUUCAUCUUCCAACUCUCCAAGUUGUUCUCUAGCUCAACCAACUAGCUCAGGGAUAUCCUACACAGGUUCUUGGAGAAGGGUGGUUUAUAAGAAAACCAACUUGACUGCGAGCUCAACAUAACGGUCAGGGGGAAACCUGGUGAUACUUCCGAGAAGAUAAUCGGAAAAUCACGAACCACCGAUAUGUUACUAAGCUCGAGAACAAUCUUGCUUUUCAGACAAGACGAUAUGAUCAAAAGAGCAAGGGAUUCAAUCCUAACUCAAAGAUCAAAGAGUGCACCAGAAAUAAGAACAAGGUAGCACGAACAAUCCUAGAAUAGUGUUUCGAUAACCAACACGCUAAGAAUGAUAUUAGUGUCCAUUAACUACCAAGCAACACGGUAGCUAGGAGUAUUGAUUUCACACACCACGGUUCACUUGUCGGCAUUCCGGUUGCCAUAACUCGGGUACCUAGAAAUGAACAAUGAUGGCAAGAAGUAUCACUGCGUCAAGAUUCAUAAGAGAUGGUGCAAUUCCUAUGAUAUUCUUGACAUGAAGAUGGUAACACUUCAAGGUAGAACAGAGCAAAAGCUGGAUUGGCAUUUUGAUCUGCGAAAUACAAUUGCUUUGACCCAAUCCUAGAUAUGGAUGAGGUUCUGGAGUUUGUUUCUCCUAGUCAUUCUGAACUAGAAUGGCUUGACGGACCACAAGAAUAAUAGGCACCGAUGAACGAAUGCUCACAUACUCUUGACAAUCAAUUGAUAGAUGAAGGUCGGAAUAUAACUGAAGGGGGACAACUCAAAGGAACAUAUAACUUUCUGAGUUGUGGAUACAUAGAUUAGUAUGUCAAACGAGUUCAACAUAUUUCUUCCGGAUAACCCAUGCAGAAAGGUAGAGCUGGCAGAAUCACAGUUAUGAAUGGAGAACUCAUCAAGAGCACUCUGGUUGUGAUCUUUUGGUUCAAAAGAACUUCUGCCAUAUUGGCUCAUGGUAUUGGAAGAACGAUAUACCACGGGCCUCGAGGACUAUCACAAGGUUACUAAUAUCUUAAGGGAACUAGCAAAUACUAACAACAUGAAGUAGGGUGAAUCUCGGGUUCAAAACCCAGGAGUAGAAUACCUACUAACUAAAUAACAUCACGAGAUGCUUCCGAGAAUGGUGGCCAGAAUCAUCACACUGGGAACACCAAACAUGGCUAGAUUACUAACUCUAAGAUAUCCUAGUGUCAUAAUAACAACUCCAACAUAUAUGUCGAGGCAAUAGAGUACCUCAACCCAGCGAUUAGUGUGCUUAAUCUGGCCCAAAAGGACAUCAGGAACGGGAAGAAGGAAUUUGCAGAUGCAUCGGACUGUUUAGAAACCUAGGAUGGCUCGGAUAGCAUAACGACUGUAAAUGCUCAAAAUGAUUUGAGACAUCCUGCAAAAUGGUGGCAUAACCACUCAACAUCACAAUAUCAAGGUUCUGAGGCCAGCUAUGAACAUAUGGAAGUAGUAGGAACUGAACUGAGGCUUGAACUCAACAAUCCUAGGCAACUACGGUUUAGUAACACGUCAUCCUGAGAGAUAGAAGAGAAGCCUAGUUCUUAACCCCCAUAGAAAAGAAGAGGUUGACUCAGAUCAGAAGGCCAUGAGGUAUAAGGAGUAAAAAGAGCCUUAUGUUCCUUCCCACAAUCAAUUCCCCUACAUAACUAAAGCAUUUCUAGACACGACUUCGACCAGUUUGGCUUGGUAAUCCUACAGGCAAUCAGGCUCUGGUACCAAAGCUGUCAGGACCCCGAUUCCAAGUCACAUCGAUCUAGCCGGUAACACCUCAUAUCACUUUGCGGCCUCACGCACGGUAUUCCCACGGGUGUCGCCUUACCAUGGCCCGGGACCGUUUGCGCCUUUUGGCUCACGUAUAUGAUAGUGUCGCUAGCAUCCAUAUGACAGAGAACCCAGGCCGACAUGACUAGUCAUGAACCCAAAGUGGCACUAACUUACGGGGACAGGCAUACAUGAAUCAACAUCGAGCAUGUCGGUCAGCAACGUGCGAAUCCGGGCUGUAGCACUGGGCUAACAGGACUCCAGUGAACCGGGCUGUAGCAGGCUAUAGGUAGGACUCCGGAUGUCACAGCGUGACAUUUCCCCGAAGGGACAGACACAAGAACGAAGUGAAUCACAUGUCGGCCAGUCAAGUGUUCCGGAGUAGUAGUGCUAGGCUAGCAGGACUCCGGUGAACUGGGCUAUAGCGGACUACUAUGGCUCAUGGAAGCACAAGACUACAUUUCCCCAUAAGAGAGGCUACCAAGGAUAAACAACUAGGUUGUCGGAUCCCACACAUACCAAGCAUUUCAAUCAUACACACAAUAUGCUCGAUAUGUGUAAAUACAACAUGGCACCACAACAUAACUCUAUGACUCCAGUAUUUAUUCAUUAGGCUCCGAGGAGCGAGAUAUUACAAACAUGGGUCUCAUGACCCAACAUUUGGAGCAUACAAGUCAAAGCACAUGCGGAAGCUUAACUUGUCUGAUUACACACAACUAAAAAUGAAGAAGGCUGAGUAGCCUGACUAUCUACAAGACCCUCCCAAGGGUACAAGAUCGUAGGUGAGGUAACAAGCUAAACGUCGAAGUCCACGUGGAACUACUAGCGAGACUGAAGUCUCUUUGCAAAAACAUAAAUUAAGCAAACGUGAGUACAAAUGUACCCAGCAAGACCUACAUCAGAACUAUCUACAUAUGCAUCGGUAUCAACAAAGGGGUGGUGGAGUUUAACUGUAGCAAGCCAGCUUUGACUCGGUGGCUAUCCUGAGCUACGACUGCAAGUAACUCUUUUGAGGUGGCACACACGAGUCCACAAAUUCACCAUAGAAAUACACCACUAUGGAUCCGCUCCCGUCUCCCUGCGAGAACGCCAUCCAUAGCACUCACGCUUAUCUUGCGAGUUUUAGAGUAUCCACUUUCACUUGUCUAUGAACUAUGCAAGGGGUCCAAGUUUCCAUAUCCGAGGAAUCCGGCUAUUCGAAUAGAUAAUGAUAACCCUGCAGGGGUGUACUUCUUCACACACGCUCUCGCCACUUAUUGCCCUGUACAUGUCAUGUACCUCGGUAACCUUCAAGCGGAAGCCGGGCGAGGGAGUCGGCCACGACCUGACUAACCAACAAGUCUCUAGUCCAGGUUUAUCGCCUAUUCGGGUUCCAUCCGCAAGGAGAUCCGGUCAGGGUGUCGCUCACGGCCCCAAACGAUGUGAGCAGGGUUCCCAAGCCCACCAUCCGGGUGCCACUUGGUACACCGUGCCACUGUGCCUAGUCUGUCCCAAGCCCACCUGUACCGGGUGCCACUUGGUAGACUACUAACACUACCUACAAACACCAAAAACUAGUUGCAACUCCUAGACAGAGAUCAUGUUGAUUAAUAAGUCGAGAGGGGCACUUAACAUCCCAAUGCGUGGUAGUAGCUGUUCAUGGAUCAAGAACACAGAACUCAGUUCCUAAGGACGGCUGCAAUGAGACAACCCACCACGUACUCCUACAUGGCCUCUCACCGCUACCUUUACCAAAUCAUGUUCACACACUUAGCUCUCAAGGGUAGGACAUGUUCACCACAUUCCAAUUCAUCCCCGAUGAAUCAGACCUGACUCAACUCUAAGUAGUAGCAGGCAUGACAUACAAGCACGAAUGAGUAGGCACAUCAGGGCUCAAACAAUUCCUACUCAUGCUAGUGGGUUUCAUCUAAUUAUUGUGGCAAUGACAGGUCAUGCAGAGGAAAGGGGUUCAGCUACCGCCGCAUGUAACAGUUGAAAUGUUGUUGUCCUAAUGCAGUAAAAGAGAGCAGGAGCGAGAGAGUGGGAUUGUAUCAGAAUGAACAAGGGGGGUUUGCUUGCCUGGCACUUCUGAAGAUAGUAUAGCUCUUCAUCGGUGUCAUCGAAUUCAUCGCUGGACCAACGUCUACUAAGGGGGGACAAACACCGGCAACUGAGAAAGAACACAAUCAACACAUGACGAUAUGAAACAAUAUGAUGCAUGCUAUGACAUGGUAAUAUGAAUGUGUUUUGGGCUAAUGCAACAGAAAGUCAUUUUAAUUGAAGUGGAAUUCAAACUAUAUCAAAUUCCAACUCCAAACCUAUUAUGAAAUUUUCCCUAAUCAUGUUUCAUCCUAAACAGUGAGGUUAACUUGCUCAAACAUGCAUGAAAAUGGUACAGAUGGAUUCCUUGAAUUUUUUUGAUAAUUUUUCAUAUAUAAUUUAUUUCAUUUGGAGCUAUAGAUUAAUUUCUAUGAUUUUUCAAAGUUUUGGAUAUUUUCUGAAAAUAAUAAAUCAUUUAAGAUUUAUUUAAAUUCCAGAAAGGAAUUAUUGCUUCAGCAUGACCUCACAGUGACAUCAGCAGGUCAAUGGCUCGGUCCAGGUCAAACCUGACGUGUGGGGUCCACACGUCAGUGUCACAGGGUUAAACAGGGGUGUGUUUAGCCUAAUUACAAAAUUAGUGGGCGCUGGGGCCCAUCUGUCAGCGUAUGUGGGUGAUCUAGCUGGCGGUGGUUAGCGCCAAUGAUGCGCCACGUCGGCACUCGCCGGAGCACGGCCGGCGACGACCAUAACACGCGGCGGAGGCUCACCGGAGUGGCUCGGGAUGGCGCUACAGAGGGUGGUUUGCGACGGGGUUUGGCUCUACGGGGAGCUGGAGGAGUGGCGCAUCCACUGGUGGCAGCGACAGGAGCUGGGGUGGCCUGUAGCAGCGGCGGCGGCGAGUUGGGCGACGGCCGGAGUUCGGCCGGCAAUGGUUUGGGCGAUGCCGAGCAAGGGAGGAGCCGUGGUUAGUCGUGUUCGACUCACGGAAGUGCGGUGAGUGCAACAGUGAGCUCGAACGCAAGGUUGCGCGGCCGUGCUAUGAUGGCGACAUGGCCGGUGGUGGGGAGCUUCGGGCUCAAUCGGAAGACGGGGCUAGGGAACGGGAACGGAGGGGGAGAGCGAGGGGGAAACAACAGGAGCUCACAGGGAGGUCGAAGAGCAUUUCAGCGGCCUCGGGGAUGCGUCGGAGGCGGCGAAUCGGUCGGUGAAGUCCGGCAAGUAGAUGCGGCGGUGACGAGCUCGAAGACGACGGUGUGGCGAUCCUUGGCUUGCGUGGCUCGGCCAAGAGGAAGAGGAAGUCACGCCGGACCUUCCAGACACGGGGGAGGGGCGAGGAGGUGGUUGUGGCCACGGUGAGCGGUGUCGGCGGCGACGACCUCCACUCGAUGGUGCUCGAGAAGAGAGAGCAGAGGAGGGGAGAGAGGGCGAUGAGUGAGGGAGAAGAGAGAGAGGGAGCCAGGGGUGUCGUGGCGUCGUCUGGGCGCGUCGGGGCAGCAGUGGGAAGCAGGAGGUGGCGGGGCGCGUGCUCGCGCGUGGUGGCCACGCUCCUCUCAUCCUCCUGGCAGGAGGUUGAGGGUGACUGGCACGGCGCUGUGGGCUGGGCCGCACAGUAGCAGGCCGGCCAGGCUGGACAGGUAAGCGCCUGGUAGGUCUUCUGCUCUUUUUUAAUUUUUCUUCUGUUUUGUUUUAUCUAAUUGCCACUGAAUUCAAAUUCAAACAAAUUUGAAAACAGUGCCAAAACUCCCCUGGAUAAUUUUAUGUCACUUAAGGUCUACUCCUCAUAUACAUAAAAUAUCUCAGGGCAUUUGAAAAUAUAUUCAUUAUAUAUUAUGAAUAUAACUCCAAAUUCAAAUAGAAUAUUGAUUUAAAAUCAGAGCCC
rnacentral:lncRNA from 1 species